rnacentral:rRNA from 1 species
UAUGGCGAAUGAACGGGAACAGGGCAUCGCGGAACUGCAGGUCAUCUUGGCCUCGCGGAAUGUCGCGUUCGGGAGAGUCUUCUCGAGGACCGGACGGCCAGUCAAAGUCCAACUUGACAGUGGCCACUGCCCAUAGAGGGUGAUAGGCCCGUAAGGCGGCUGUCCGUUUUCGCUGACUUUUUCCCUAGAGUCGGGUUGCUUGGGAGUGCAGCCCAAAGUGCGAGGUAAACUCCUCGUAACCCUAAAUAUGACCCCGAGACCGAUAGCAAACAAGUACGGUGACGGAAGAUUGAAAAGAACUUUGAAGAGAGAGUUCAAUAGUACGUGAAACUGUGUGGUGGUAAACGGAGGGGUUCUCGAAGUUUCUGUGGGGAACUCAGCCUUGGUGUCGCGUGGCCCUGUCGUAUCCGAUCAGCAAUGACGGUGCGGCUUGGCCGACGUGUCUCUCGGGUGCAUUUCCCCCGCAGUUUACGGCAGGAACUGUUUGGAGCGCACCGAAGGCCUCGGGUGAAGUUGUUGGUUCUGCUGGCAGCCCUGGGUGUCCUGGCUUCGCACCAGACAGGUACGUGAGAGGACUCGUAUAGCGAGCAAUGCUCUGUUGCGGUUCUCAUCUCUCUGCCGAGUAGGUCGGCGGCCCCUCCGACCCGUCUUGAAACACGGACCAAGGAGUCUAACAUGUAUGCGAGCCAUUGAGUUGACUAAACUUAUAGGCGCAGUGAAAGCAAAGAGUAGCUUGUCUGCUCGAGGGACGAUCCGCAAGGCGCAGUCCCGCGACUUCCAAUCGACCUCGCAUCGUUGGGAGUACGCAGAGCAUAAAUGUUGGGACCCGAAAGAUGGUGAACUAUGCCUGGCCAGGUUGAAGUCAGGGGAAACCCUGAUGGAGGACUGCAGCGAUUCUGACGUGCAAAUCGAUCGUCGGAGCUGGGCAUAGGGGCGAAAGACUAAUCGAACCAUCUAG